GACGAACGCUGGCGGCGCGCCUAACACAUGCAAGUCGAACGGAGUCAAGAGGAGCUUGCUUUUCUUGACUUAGUGGCGAACGGGUGAGUAACGCGUGAGUAACCUGCCCUGGAGUGGGGGACAACAGUUGGAAACGACUGCUAAUACCGCAUAAGCCCACGGAUCUGCAUGGAUCUGCGGGAAAAGGAUUUAUUCGCUCUAGGAUGGACUCGCGUCCAAUUAGCUAGUUGGUGAGGUAACGGCCCACCAAGGCGACGAUUGGUAGCCGGACUGAGAGGUUGAACGGCCACAUUGGGACUGAGACACGGCCCAGACUCCUACGGGAGGCAGCAGUGGGGGAUAUUGCACAAUGGGGGAAACCCUGAUGCAGCGACGCCGAGUGGAGGAAGAAGGUUUUCGGAUUGUAAACUCCUGUCGUUAGGGACGAUAAUGACGGUACCUAACAAGAAAGCACCAGCUAACUACGUG
rnacentral:rRNA from 1 species